GUAACGCGUGGGUAACCUGCCUCAUAGGAGGGAUAANAUAGAAAUGCUGCUAAUACCGCAUAAGCGCACAGAGCUGCAUGGCUCAGUGUGAAAAACUCCGGUGGUAUAAGAUGGACCCGCGUUGGAUUAGCUUGUUGGCAGGGUAACGGCCUACCAAGGCGACGAUCCAUAGCCGGCCUGAGAGGGUGAACGGCCACAUUGGGACUGAGACACGGCCCAGACUCCUACGGGAGGCAGCAUUG
rnacentral:rRNA from 1 species